rnacentral:rRNA from 1 species
AACGAACGCUGGCGGCAUGCCUAACACAUGCAAGUCGAACGCCAUGGUUUCGGCCAUGGAGUGGCGCACGGGUGAGUAACGCGUGGGAACCUGCCCAGCAGUAUGGGACAACCGCGGGAAACUGCGGCUAAUACCGUAUACGCCCGUCCUUGGGAGACCAGGGGCGGGGAAAGAUUGAUCGCUGUUGGAGGGGCCCGCGUCGGAUUAGGUAGUUGGUGGGGUAAAGGCCUACCAAGCCUGCGAUCCGUAGCUGGUCUGAGAGGAUGAUCAGCCACGAUGGGACUGAGACACGGCCCAGACUCCUACGGGAGGCAGCAGUGGGGAAUAUUGGACAAUGGGCGCAAGCCUGAUCCAGCAAUGCCGCGUGAGUGAUGAAGGCCUUAGGGUUGUAAAGCUCUUUCACACGCGACGAUGAUGACGGUAGCGUGAGAAGAAGCCCCGGCUAACUCCGUGCCAGCCGCCGCCGUAAUAC